rnacentral:rRNA from 1 species
CGGUCACGUUCGUUGCUUUAGAGCAUUAUGAAUAUAGGCCCUUAGUGAAACGCAAUUAAGCAGACAGAUCACUCCACGAACUAAGAACGGCCAUGCACCACCUAUCACAUAAUCAUGAAAGGACUAGCAUCUUUAACAGAGCAUGCGCGUAGAACUGUUAAUUAAAACAGAUCAACUACAGCUCAUAACGCCUGUCAAUCCUCAGUGUGUCCGGACCCGGUAAGAUUUCCCGCGUUGGGUCAAAUUAAGCCACAUGCUCCAC